rnacentral:rRNA from 1 species
AACGAACGCUGGCGGCAUGCCUAACACAUGCAAGUCGAACGAAGGCUUCGGCCUUAGUGGCGCACGGGUGCGUAACGCGUGGGAACCUGCCCCUCGGUUCGGAAUAACAGUUAGAAAUGACUGCUAAUACCGGAUGAUGACUUCGGUCCAAAGAUUUAUCGCCGAGGGAUGGGCCCGCGUAGGAUUAGCUAGUUGGUGGGGUAAAGGCCUACCAAGGCGACGAUCCUUAGCUGGUCUGAGAGGAUGAUCAGCCACACUGGGACUGAGACACGGCCCAGACUCCUACGGGAGGCAGCAGUGGGGAAUAUUGGACAAUGGGCGAAAGCCUGAUCCAGCAAUGCCGCGUGAGUGAUGAAGGCCUUAGGGUUGUAAAGCUCUCUUACCAGGGAUGAUAAUGACAGUACCUGGAGAAUAAGCUCCGGCUAACUCCGUGCCAGCAGCCG